rnacentral:rRNA from 1 species
UACGAAGGGGGCUAGCGUUGUUCGGAAUUACUGGGCGUAAAGGGCGCGUAGGCGGCCUGUUUAGUCAGAAGUGAAAGCCCCGGGCUCAACCUGGGAACAGCUUUUGAUACUGGCAGGCUCGAGUUCCGGAGAGGAUGGUGGAAUUCCCAGUGUAGAGGUGAAAUUCGUAGAUAUUGGGAAGAACACCGGUGGCGAAGGCGGCCAUCUGGACGGACACUGACGCUGAGGCG